GAAGGUAGCGUAAUCACUUGUUCUUUAAAUGAGGACUAGUAUGAAUGGCCCCACGAGGGCUGCACUGUCUCCUUUUUCUAAUCAAUGAAACUAAUCUCCCCGUGAAGAAGCGGGGAUAAUUCUAUAAGACGAGAAGACCCUAUGGAGCUUUAAACAACUGAAACACUUGCUUUUCCAUUAACCUCUUCCGAGUUCUUUACUUCACUCAAGCAUUUUUAUUUCUAGUUUUAGGUUGGGGUGACCACGGAGCAAAACUAAACCUCCACGAAGAAAUGAAUACUUUUUAAGCCACAAACUACUUUUUUAAGCAUCAACAAAUUGACCUUCAUUGACCCAAUAUAUUGAUCAACGAACCAAGUUACCCUAGGGAUAACAGCGCAAUCUACUUCAAGAGCUCGUAUCGACAAGUAGGUUUACGACCUCGAUGUUGGAUCAGGGUAUCCUAGUGGG
rnacentral:rRNA from 1 species